rnacentral:rRNA from 1 species
AACGAACGCUGGCGGCGUGCUUAACACAUGCAAGUCGAACGCGAACGUUUUCUUCGGAAAACUAGUAGAGUGGCGCACGGGUGAGUAACGCGUAAGUAAUCUACCCUGGCAUCUGGGAUAACCCACCGAAAGGUGUGCUAAUACCGGAUACGCUGAUUUAUCAGGAAAGGUGGCCUCUUCAUGAAAGCUACUGUGCCGGGAGGAGCUUGCGUACCAUUAGCUAGUUGGUGGGGUAAUGGCCUACCAAGGCAAUGAUGGGUAGCUGGUCUGAGAGGAUGACCAGUCACACUGGAACUGAGACACGGUCCAGACUCCUACGGGAGGCAGCAGUGGGGAAUAUUGCGCAAUGGGGGAAACCCUGACGCAGCGACGCCGCGUGGGUGAUGAAGGCCUUCGGGUCGUAAAGCCCUGUCGUAAGGGAAGAAAUGUCACGUAGAUAAUACCUGCGUGGCUUGACGGUACCUUACAAGAAAGCACCGGCUAACUCCGUG